rnacentral:tRNA from 1 species
UUUACUUUAGUGUAAGGAGCACGUAAAUUUUUGGUGUUUAAAGAGUAAGAGUAGGC